UCCUAGUUAACCUAGGCAGUCUCAUUAGAGUUCCCACCAUUACGUGUUGGCAACUAAUGACAAGGGUUGCGCUCGUUGCGGGACUUAACCCAACACCUCACGGCACGAGCUGACGACAGCCAUGCAGCACCUGUGCAUAGGCCCCGAAGGGAGAUGCCGUUUCUGGCACUGUCCUAUGCAUGUCAAGCCUGGGUAAGGUUCUUCGCGUUGCAUCGAAUUAAACCACAUGCUCCACUGCUUGUGCGGGUCCCCGUCAAUUCUUUUGAGUUUCACCCUUGCGAGCGUACUCCCCAGGCGGUAUACUUAACGCGUUGGCUACGGCACAACUGGGGUUGAAUCCAGCUACACCUAGUAUACAUAGUUUACGGCAAGGACUAC
rnacentral:misc_RNA from 1 species